rnacentral:rRNA from 1 species
AUUAUGAUGAUGACAUUUUAUACCUAUAUGUCUUGACCAAAUCACGUGCCAGCAGUCGCGGUAAUACGUGGAAGACUAGUGUUAUUCAUCUUAAAUAGGUUUAAAGGGUACCUAGACGGUAAAUUAAGCCCAUAUAGGGAACUUUUAUACUAGAGUUUAAUAGGAGGAGGGGAGUACAGCUGAGUGUAGAGAUGAAAUUCUGUCAUACCUUCUGGAACAGGCAACGGCGAAAGCAACCUUUUAUGUAUAAACUGACGUUGAGGGACGAAGGCUCCGUACACCAACAGGAUUAGAUACCCUAGCAGUCUGAGCAGACAAUGAUGAAUGCCAUACAUAAGAUAAAAUAUUAUAAUAUUUUAUGUAUAAAUGAAAGUGUAAGCAUUCCACCUCAAGAGUAAUGUGGCAACGCAGAAACUGAAAUCAUUAGACCGUUUCUGAAACCAGUAGUGAAGUAUGUUGUUUAAUUAGAUGGUCCGCAAAAAACCUCACCACAAUUUGAAUAUUUCUAUACAUUAUAGAUAUACAAGCGUUGCACGGCUGUCUUCAGUUAAUGUCGUGAGAUUUUGGUUAGUUCCAUUAAAUUAACGUAAACCCUUACUUUAUUUUUUUUUAUAAAGUAGUUCGCCAUUAUAUUGGAUAUGAUAAUAGGGACUAAGACAAGUCAUCAUGGCCUUAAUAUUGU